AACAUAAUCUUUUUCUAUAUUAAGUCUAAUACAAUCGGGUUUGUUAGCUUUUGAGUGGACUAACUCAAUGAAGAAGGGGAAGAUGAGUCCUCAGAGCC